CAAUAGCGUAUAUUAACGUUGUUGCAGUUAAAAAGCUCGUAGUUGGAUUUCUGGAGGGAGCGUCGGCCCGUAUUUACGAGUGCGUGACGUCUCUGUCCAUCCUUGCGGGAAGGCACGGCAUUGAUUUGUUGUGUCGGAUCGCAUCAUUUACUGUGAAAAAAUUAGAGUGUUCAAAGCAGGCUUUCGCUUGAAUACAUUAGCAUGGAAUAAUAAGAUAGGACUUUGGUGCUAUUUUGUUGGUUGAGCCUAAAGUAAUGAUUAAUAGGGAUAGUUGGGGGCACCUGUAUUGCGUUGUCAGAGGUGAAAUUCUUGGAUUUACGCAAGACAACCAGCUGCGAAAGCGUCUGCCAAGGAUGUUUUCAUUAA
rnacentral:rRNA from 1 species